CAACGUAAGGGCAGCCAAGGGUAAUUACCCCGACAAAAGUAUGUUCCUGGUCCUAGCAGCAACAAAGACAACGAAGAAGCUGAUGGGUUGGCCUCAGAAGGAUCUAGAGCAUCAGGUGACGAAUCUUUGCAGGUGUUGCCUGCCCUCCUGGAGGCCGCCCUGCUGGCGCUAACUUCUGGGGACUCUUCCCACUCUCCUGGGCGUCUCUAUGCAAUGCCUUCGCACCCUGAUCUCUUUCCACAUGUUUCCAGCGUUGUUAUGAGCAGCUUAGCCAGUUACAAAGUACAUGAGGCUUCUUGUUGGAUGUUCAUGGCUGGAGGGUCCCUGGGCCAUUCAGCUUAGAGCCUCCACUUGCCUGUUGCUUGUGAAUUACGUGUCAUUAUUUGCUGUAGUGCUCAAAAUAUGUCCUGGAAUUUAAUGAACUGUUGGUUCAAAAAUGUUCUUAAAUGCUUUAGGCUUAUCUGAUGGAAAGUUGGAAGGAUUAGCCUGCAGUCACAUUUUUAAAAUUCUUUCAGCGCAGCCCAAGCAGAGGGUCCCUUCGCUCUUCAGGCCUGGAAAGUCGUCCUUCAGUCUGGACUUGAAUCUUGAUCUCGUAUUUUCUGAUGAAGGGCAGGGUUCAGUUUCUGAGCCCCACCUGAUGCUUCCUCUCCUCUCAGCUUUGGUCCUCCGGUUGGAGAGAUGGCCUCCAGCCCUUGUCCUUAAUGCAGCCUCCACUUCCUGGUGCAAAUUGUGUACCAGGCAAGCUCUUCCU
rnacentral:lncRNA from 1 species